rnacentral:misc_RNA from 1 species
CUUUGAUACAAUUCAUAUCAAACCACAAAUGAAAUGGAAAUAUAUUUGCAAGAGAUUUAAGUUUUGCCUAUCUCAAAGAAUAAUGUUAUCAAAAUCAAGAAAAAUAAAUUCAAAGAGCAAUAUAUCUCCAACUAACAUUUCCUACAUCUCCUCCUCCCUUUUCAAAAAGAUAAAAUUAUAUAGGACAAACUUAUCACAAUGACUUUGGCCUACCAUUACAGAAACUUGCUUGCGCUUUUCAAAACUAUAAUGAUUUCUAAGUGCUAAAUUUCCAUGCAACAAAGCAACUCCAAAGUUGCAUCCACAGAGGAGAAUAUGAUAUUGUCACUCAUCUGCCCAGCUAUAUAUGAAUAGAGAUAGAUAAUGUCUAAGCAGUUAUCUUCGACUACUAGCCGUUUUGGCCUUGCUUAGAUCCGCAAGCUCUUCAAUUAGCUUUCUUUCUGCGCUGCU